AUUGAACGCUGGCGGCAGGCCUAACACAUGCAAGUCGAGCGGAUGAAGGGAGCUUGCUCCUGGAUUCAGCGGCGGACGGGUGAGUAAUGCCUAGGAAUCUGCCUGGUAGUGGGGGAUAACGUCCGGAAACGGGCGCUAAUACCGCAUACGUCCUGAGGGAGAAAGUGGGGGAUCUUCGGACCUCACGCUAUCAGAUGAGCCUAGGUCGGAUUAGCUAGUUGGUGGGGUAAAGGCCUACCAAGGCGACGAUCCGUAACUGGUCUGAGAGGAUGAUCAGUCACACUGGAACUGAGACACGGUCCAGACUCCUGCGGGAGGCAGCAGUGGGGAAUGUUGGACAAUGGGCGAAAGCCUGAUCCAGCCAUGCCGCGUGUGUGAAGAAGGUCUUCGGAUUGUAAAGCACUUUAAGUUGGGAGGAAGGGCAGUAAGUUAAUACCUUGCUGUUUUGACGUUACCAACAGAAUAAGCACCGGCUAACUUCGUG
rnacentral:rRNA from 1 species